AGUGAACGCUGGCGGUAGGCCUAACACAUGCAAGUCGAACGACAGCACAGUAAGAGCUUGCUCUUACGGGUGGCGAGUGGCGGACGGGUGAGGAAUACAUCGGAAUCUACUUUUUCGUGGGGGAUAACGUAGGGAAACUUACGCUAAUACCGCAUACGACCUACGGGUGAAGGCAGGGGAUCUUCGGACCUUGCGCGAUUGAAUGAGCCGAUGUCGGAUUAGCUAGUUGGCGGGGUAAAGGCCCACCAAGGCGACGAUCCGUAGCUGGUCUGAGAGGAUGAUCAGCCACACUGGAACUGAGACACGGUCCAGACUCCUACGGGAGGCAGCAGUGGGGAAUAUUGGACAAUGGGCGCAAGCCUGAUCCAGCCAUACCGCGUGGGUGAAGAAGGCCUUCGGGUUGUAAAGCCCUUUUGUUGGGAAAGAAAAGCAGCAGGUUAAUACCCCGCUGUUCUGACGGUACCCAAAGAAUAAGCACCGGCUAACUUCGUG
rnacentral:rRNA from 1 species